UUAAGCUCUGAUUGAAGAUCAGAAGAUAAGGACUUCAGAAGUUUGUAAGCGUUCAGAAGAUUGUGAGAUUCAGAAGUUGUUAUCUUCAGACGAUGAAGUCUUCAGAACUUCUUAAGGUCUAAGCUUCAUCAAACUCUGAUGAUCUUCUUGAAGUUUGUAAAGAUUCUCUUUUGCAAGUCAACUCUUCUACCAAUGAAGAAAAGGACCUUUCAAGCCUGAUCAGAACAGCUAAUCUCUUUCUGUCUGUUCUCUUU
rnacentral:lncRNA from 1 species